GAUCACAUCGGUAAUCAGCCCGUCUGCGGUUCGUCUUCGCCUCCCUUCUACCAUGCGCAUACAUCCAACCUUUCACGUUUCACAGAUUAAGCCCAUACAGGCCAGCAAGCUGUGCCCUCCUUCCGAGCCCCCUCCUCCCGCCCGAGACGUUGAUGGCCAUCCUGCCUAUUCUGUCCGCCGGAUCGUGGACUCCCGUCGGCAGGGUCGUGGUUGGCAGUACCUUGUCUGCCAACUGGGAGGGCUACAGUCCGGAGGAUCGUUCCUGGGUCCCCGGCUCAUUCCUUUUGGACCCGUCCCUUAUUGAUGAUUACCGUUGUUCUCUCCCUUCUUGUUCGUCUUGGCCGCCAGGUGGCGACCGUUGAGGGGGGGGUACUGUUGGAUUCCGGGGUUUUUGGUGUCUGGGUCCUUUUUCGGCUAGUCACUAGCCUUCCACCAGAUGGCGCCACAGACUGCUUUUCCUGGCGGGGCGUGCCGACCUCCAACACACCUGUUCGGCAUCUCCUCAUCAUCUCUGGAGCUCAAAAGGAGCUGACUGCCGGUUCUUCGAUGCCUGAGUGUUUGCCAGCAAUGGUAGUCAGAGCCCUCCAGUGAAAGCUCUUUGUUCACUUGAGUAACUUCCCGAGUAAUUCCUCUCGUUGUUCUCCUCCUCCAGGUGUCCUCCUCGAGACGCUGAGUUCCUUUGUUAAGGGAUUUUUUCCCCCUGGUUUUCCGGAACCCAUUCCCUCGUGACACCGUGAAGAUUACCCACUGGUUGCCCGAGUCCCCGCACCUUCCCUUGGAAACACCGUUCGUCAGUCGGAACACUCCUCUGUCUCCAGCCCGCCAGAUCCUGCCUGUCCGCCUUCCGCCGCCAGCUCCUGGACCCAGCUGGUUCUCAGACAAGCCCGGACCCAUUGAGAAGACCCUUUGGACUAAACGACCUCGAUCCAACAGUUAAACCCUCCCGGACUUUCACCAUCUACUCUGCAAUGUGCCGCAUUUCCCGAGAGCCGUAUUUCCUGGAGCAGACGCACCUCUGCUGAUUUUCUGAUUAUUCAAUAAACCAUUUUUACUGAU